rnacentral:tRNA from 1 species
ACCUUGCUGGCUCAGUCAGUAGAGCAUGUGACUCUUGAUCUUGGGGCUGUGAGUUGGAGCCCCAUGUUGGGUG